rnacentral:rRNA from 2 species
CAAAUUAUCCUCAUAAGUUAGACAAGAAGAGGUACCACUAAAGUUAUAGUUUAACCCGAUAAGCUUAAAUUAAAAAAUAUAGUUUUCUUUGGUAAAGGAAUAGGAACCGUGGUUAGAUCACUUUAAACUAUAUUUACUAAGGUGGUGGCACAGAAUCGGAGGCCCCGACUGUUUACUAAAAACACAUCUCAGUGCAAUGAUUAAUAUCAUAGUAUACUGAGUGAAAUUUGCCCGAUGCCAUUAACAUAAGAGAGGUAAUGGGUAACUGUUACUAAUCGAAAGUCUGGUUAAUAGCGGUCUUAACUAUGAGGAUCCAAAGGUAGCAAAAUAAAUUGGCCAUUAAAUGUGGUCCGGUAUCAAUAAUGUAACGAUGGCCUCACUGUCUCUACACACUUGCUCAGUGAAAUUGAAUUACCCGUGCAGAUGCGGGUUGCCUCCAGGUGGACGGGAAGACCCUAUGCAGCU